CCCUUAGAUGUUCUGGGCCGCACGCGUGCUACACUGAGUGGAUCAGCGGGUCAGGUUGCGCGAAAGCGUUUCCUAAUCUUUAAAUCCGCUCGUGAUGGGGAUUGACGGUUGCAAUUUUCUGUCAUGAACGAGGAAUACCUUGUAAGCGCGGGUCAUCAUCCCGCGCUGAAUACGUCCCUGCCCUUUGUACACACCGCCCGUCGCACCUACCGAUUGAACGGUCCGGUGAAAUCUUGGGAUUUGCUUUGCUUUCGUUUGUUCGAUGCUCGGCGAAGAACUUGAGUAAACCUUACCGUUUAGAGGAAGGUGAAGUCGUAACA
rnacentral:rRNA from 1 species